CUACGUGCCAGCAGCCGCGGUAAUACGUAUGUCACAAGCGUUAUCCGGAUUUAUUGGGCGUAAAGCGCGUCUAGGUGGUUAUGUAAGUCUGAUGUGAAAAUGCAGGGCUCAACUCUGUAUUGCGUUGGAAACUGUAUGACUAGAGUACUGGAGAGGUAAGCGGAACUACAAGUGUAGAGGUGAAAUUCGUAGAUAUUUGUAGGAACGCCGAUGGGGAAGCCAGCUUACUGGACAGAUACUGACGCUAAAGCGCGAAAGCGUGGGUAGCAAACAGGAUUAGAUACCCUGGUAGUCCACGCCGUAAACGAUGAUUACUAGGUGUUGGGGGUCGAACCUCAGCGCCCAAGCUAACGCGAUAAGUAAUCCGCCUGGGGAGUACGUACGCAAGUAUGAAACUCAAAGGAAUUGACGGGGACCCGCACAAGCGGUGGAGCAUGUGGUUUAAUUCGACGCAACGCGAGGAACCUUACCAGCGUUUGACA
rnacentral:rRNA from 1 species